rnacentral:rRNA from 1 species
GAUGAACGCUGGCGGCGUGCCUAACACAUGCAAGUCGAACGGAGUCCAGCCUUAGAGACCUUCGGGUCAAAGAGGGGAAGACUGAGUGGCGGACGGGUGAGUAACACGUGGGCAACCUGGCUCAUAGAGGGGGAUAACAGAGAGAAAUUUCUGCUAAUACCGCAUAAGCACACACUGCCGCAUGGCAGAGUGUGAAAAGAGAAUCGCUAUGAGAUGGACCCGCGUCUGAUUAGCCAGUUGGCAGGGUAAGAGCCUACCAAAGCGACGAUCAGUAGCCGAUUUGAGAGGAUGAACGGCCACAUUGGGACUGAGACACGGCCCAAACUCCUACGGGAGGCAGCAGUGGGGGAUAUUGCACAAUGGGGGGAACCCUGAUGCAGCGACGCCGCGUGAGUGAAGAAGUAUUUCGGGAUGUAAAGCUCUAUCAGCAGGGAAGAUAAUGACAGUACCUGAAUAAGAAGCCCCGGCUAACUACGUG